GAUGAACGCUAGCGGCAGGCCCAAUACAUGCAAGUCGAACGGUGUCUUCGGACAUAGUGGCGCACGGGUGCGUAACACGUAUGCAACCUACCAUACAUUGGGGGAUAGCCUUUCGAAAGGGAGAUUAAUACCGCAUAAGACAGUAGCUGGGCAUCCAGCAGCUGUUAAAGAUUUAUCGAUGUAAGCUGGGCAUGCGUCCAAUUAGCUAGUUGGUGAGGUAACGGCUCACCAAGGCAAUGAUUGGUAGGGGAACUGAGAGGUCAAUCCCCCACACUGGCACUGAGAUACGGGCCAGACUCCUACGGGAGGCAGCAGUAGGGAAUAUUGGGCAAUGGACGCAAGUCUGACCCAGCCAUGCCGCGUGCAGGAUGAAGGCGUUAUGCGUUGUAAACUGCUUUUAUACAGGAAGAAACGACUCUUGCGAGAGGCAUUGACGGUACUGUAUGAAUAAGCACCGGCUAACUCCGUGCCAGCAGCCGCCGUAAGAC
rnacentral:rRNA from 1 species